rnacentral:rRNA from 1 species
UACGAAGGGGGCUAGCGUUGCUCGGAAUCACUGGGCGUAAAGCGCACGUAGGCGGAUUCUUAAGUCAGGGGUGAAAUCCUGGAGCUCAACUCCAGAACUGCCUUUGAUACUGGGAAUCUCGAGUCCGGGAGAGGUGAGUGGAACUGCGAGUGUAGAGGUGAAAUUCGUAGAUAUUCGCAAGAACACCAGUGGCGAAGGCGGCUCACUGGCCCGGUACUGACGCUGAGGUGCGAAAGCGUGGGGAGCAAACAGGGAUUAAGAAACCC